CCUACGGGAGGCAGCAGUGAGGAAUAUUGGUCAAUGGACGCAAGUCUGAACCAGCCAUGCCGCGUGCAGGAAGACGGCCCUAUGAGUUGUAAACUUCUUUUGUAAGAGGGUAAAGUGAGACACGUGUAUCUUUUUGUAAGUAUUGUAUGAAUAAGGAUCGGCUAACUCCGUGCCAGCAGCCGCGGUAAUACGGAGGAUCCGAGCGUUAUCCGGAUUUAUUGGGUUUAAAGGGUGCGUAGGCGGUCGGUUAAGUUAGUGGUGAAAGUUCGAGGCUCAACUUUGGAAUUGCAAUUGAUACUGUUCGGCUAGAGAGUAGUUGCGGUAGGCGGAAUGUGUGGUGUAGCGGUGAAACGCUUAGAGAUCAUACAGAACACCGAUUGCGAAGGCAGCUUACCAAGCUGCUUCUGACAUUGAUGCACGAAAGCGUGGGGAGCAAACAGGAUUAGAUACCCGAGUAGUC
rnacentral:rRNA from 1 species